AUACGUAGGGGGCGAGCGUUGUCCGGAAUGAUUGGGCGUAAAGGGCGCGUAGGCGGCCCGGUAAGUCUGGAGUGAAAGUCCUGUUUUUAAGAUGGGAAUUGCUUUGGAUACUGUCGGGCUCGAGUGCAGGAGAGGUAAGUGGAAUUCCCAGUGUAGCGGUGAAAUGCGUAGAGAUUGGGAGGAACACCAGUGGCGAAGGCGACUUACUGGACUGUAACUGACGCUGAGGCGCGAAAGUGUGGGGAGCAAACAGGAUUAGAUACCCUGGUAGUCCACACUGUAAACGAUGAAUGCUAGGUGUAGGGGGUAUCGACCCCUUCUGUGCCGCAGUCAACACAAUAAGCAUUCCGCCUGGGGAGUACGGCCGCAAGGUUGAAACUCAAAGGAAUUGACGGGG
rnacentral:rRNA from 1 species